CGCCCACUACCGAAAUACACUGUACUUUUUUUUUUUUUUCAUUACAAUAAAUAAAUACAAUGACUUCCGAUAAAUACAAUGUCUCCUACUUAAUUUAUCAACAAUAAUAUCAAAUACACGUGACAACCAAAUGCCACAACUAAUCUCGUAUUCAUAGUUCUCGAAUUUCAAUCAUUCUUAAACACAACACUAGAUUAAACUCUCUAAAAUCUUUGAAUAACUUUUACUCCUAAGAGCCUUCAACAUAAUCGUCUACUAAUGCACCUGUUACUGAGAAUAAGAUGAAAAAUAAAGGAGGAGUAAGUCCAAGUGGACUUAGUGAGGAGUACGAGGGAAAAACAGUCGAAUCAAAUAAUAAUCACAAUAUAAGCGUUCAAGGAAUUGGAGUUGGAAUUGGAGUUGAAAUUGGACCAUCUAGAGAAUGAUCGUUCGAUAAGGAAUAAUAGGCCAAAGUAUAAGGCACUCAGUAUGAUCAUAGUAAACAAUAGACACAAUAUGUACAGGUAAAGAACAAUAUUCAAGGGGUAAUUCCCGGAUAUCAAUUAUAAAUUCUGUGGAGAUUCCCACGAUAACUAUUUCGGAUAUCAAAUAUGAGACCAUGGAGAUUACCAUGGUAACAAUUUGUUCAUGUACCCGUACCAGCCUUGUGACUCCCUUAGUCGUUACUACCUUAUAACCCCGAUCAGGGAGCUACCCUGCUAAUUGAUCAAUAGGCAUGCCCGGGCGCAUGCCGAUCCAUCCAUCAGCACAGUUAACCUUCAACUAUGCCAAUGGUCUAGAUCCAAUAUGGGUACUGUCGAAGAGACCAUCCACCGUCGGCCCAAUACCGCCCAGCAGUCUUUUUCGAACAGCCCCGGGCCCAACUGGUCAAUUAUCCUUAGGGCGUCCCCAAAGGAACCAAUAAUAUAGAGAUACGGAUAUGCUUCCGACUAUCUCAAUUUACAUUUUGAAUCCCCAUAAUGAAUUCCACUUUGGAAAGAGUCAAUAUCACAGUUCAACGAUUGUGGGAUUCCAAUAACAAGUGAUAGUAUCUUGUGGUCACAAAAUCCCAAGUCAAGAAGAGUACGAUCAAUGGUUUCAAUAAGAGAGUGACCACAAUUCAAGAUCGUAUAACAAUUGAUGAAGAUGGAUCUCAGUCACCAAUAGUCUACGGUUAAAAUAGAAUAUGUAGUUGUAUAGCUCGAAAGACAAGUGGUUUCAAAGGAUCAAUGGGAAUUUAAGAUAUGAACGAUCCAUCAAUUCACAGUAGGUAUGGAACGAAUGAUUUAGUGGAUCAAUACAAUAAUCCUAAAUGGUCCAAGAGUCGGGAAAAGAACGAUUUACGUUCAUUGAACCACUGUAGAAACAAAUCAAAUGAUUUACUAAAUCAUAAUAGAAGAAGUGGUUCCAACUAUUAUAUAAGUCAAUAUGUGAAACGAUUCACAAUUGAUAGAGAGUCGGACUGAAACUCGUUGAAUUAUUUAAGGUCGAUAAACGAACUCAAUUGAGUAGUCAAAGAAUCGAGAUGAGAAAUUAUUCGAAUAAUUCACGAAUCAAGAUGAGAACUUAUUAAGUUCCAUGAAGAGGAUUUCGAAUCGAUCAAAGAUUUCAAUAGCUCAAGAAUUAAUAAUUCUCGGAAAUCAAAUUAGUUCACAAGAUAGGUGACAAUAAAUAUAUAUUGAAUUUAAACGACGAGUAAUAACAAUAAUAAACCGAACGAUACGAGUGUGUAGCAACAAAUUCUUAUCUCCUAUAUAAACAAACAAGAAAGAAUUGCACAAAGAUAAUUUUAUUGAAUUAAAAUAAGAUAUUGCGGGUUACAAACUCUAAUUUAAUCCUCUGAUUCUUCUCUUAAGAAGAAUAUAUGUUGACUUUGAAUUUCGGAGUCAGGUCGUUGACUUGAUCUUCUCCGGAUUUGAUUUUGAACUUGAAUAACGUUUUCUGAGGGUCUUGCGACUUGAAUCUCGGAUCGAACGUUGAACUUUGACGAGCUUUGACUUGAAGAUCUUGGAGUUCUUGAUGGAUUUGGCCCUUCAAUUUUCCUUCGAUCUUGAUUUGUUGAAGAACACCCUCGAUUUGAUGAAGAACGCCUUGAAUUUGUUGAAGAACGACUUGAAUAUUGUAGAAAGAAUUUUCUCCUACGGUUUUUCUUCUUCUUGAGUUGUGUUUUGAAUUGUGUAUAGAGGGUCCCUAUUUAUAGUGGUAGAAUAAGAGUCCUACUUAAAGUCUACUUGAUGACGUGACGCGAUUUGAUUGGCUCUCUUUAAAUUGAUAUUUAUCUCUUAUAACUUGGAAGAGAAGAAAUAAUCCUAUUGGCCAAUAAUUAAUUGAUAAUUAUCUCCAUAACUUAUUUUGUAAGAUAAAUUAUAAUUUAAUUUAGACACAAUUUAAUUGGCUAAUUUAAUUAACCAAUUAAUUAAUUUUAUGCGUCUACAAAUGCCCCCUCGAGACUUGUUCACGGACAAUGCAUCUUGGAGUGGAUGAGUCUCGAUAAUUGCUCAACUUUGAUUGCAUCUUGAUCUACCAAAGAACAUAUAUCUUUUGAAAUCAUGACUGAACUUAGAGAGAUUCUAAGUUGCCUACGUACCCUAUAAAGGGAUCAAGUCAUAACGUAGUUCAAAAUAUAUCCUUUUGAGGGAUGUCGUGCACAGUUUAUACUCAUGUGGACAAGGAGAAACAUUUGCAGUUUAAGCUCGUACUGAAGGAGCAUUUGACUUGAAUUUGUAGAUAGUUUAUGCUCGUAUCAAGGAGGCUUGACUUGAUUUGGACAUAUAGAUAGUUUAUGCUCGUAUCGAGGAGCCUUGACUUGAUUUGGAUAUGUAGAUAGUUUAUGCUCGUAUCAAUGAGCCUUGACUUGAUUUGGAUAUGUAGAUAGUUUAUGCUCGUAUCAAGGAGCCUUGAUUUGACUUGGAUAUGUAGAUAGUUUAUGCUCGUAUCAAGGAGCCUUGACUUGAUUUGGAUAUAUAGAUAGUUUAUGCUCGUAUCGAGGAGCCUUGACUUGAUUUGGAUAUGUAGAUAGUUUAUGCUCGUAUCAAGUAGCCUUGACUUGAUUUGGAUAUGUAGAUAGUUUAUGCUCGUAUCAAGGAGCCUUGAUUUGACUUGGAUAUGUAGAUAGUUUAUGCUCGUAUCAGGGAGUAUUUCAGUUGAUUUGGACUUGUAGACCUUUUAAACUCGUGUCAAAGUGUAUUUCACUUGAUUUGGACUUGUAGACCUUUUAAACUCGUGUCAAGGAGUACUUGAUUUGAUUUGGACAUGUAGACCUUUUAAACUCGUAUCAAGGAGUGUCUGAUUUGGACAUGUAGACCUUUUAAACUCGUGUCAAUGAGUGUCUGAUUUGGACAUGUAGACCUUUUAAACUCGUGUCAAGGAGUGCUUGAUUUGGACAUGUGGACCUUUUAAACUCGUGUCAAGGAGUGUUUCACUUGAUUGGAACUGUCAUAUUGCAUAGGGUGUUGCUUCUUCAAAAGACUUGCCCCCAUCCUCAUGAUUUUCUUGUUCUUCUUCAAGAUGCACUUCUUUGAGCUGGUACGGCUUUUGGAAUGGUGAUUCUUCAAUUUGAUUUGCAAGUAUGCUCAACUCCAUAUCAUGUGCUCGAGUGGCCAACUCUUCAAAACUUUUAGGUUGAAUUACUUGAAGGAUAUAUCGGAGUUCCCAUUGCAUUCCUUGGAUGCACAGUUCAAUAGCUGAUGUCUCAGACAGUCGAUCCUUGCAAUUGAGACUCAAAUUUCUCCAACGUUUGAUGUAGUCGAUGACAGGUUCUUUCUUCCAUUGGCGGGAAUUGGUGAGCUCAAUCAUGCUGACUGUUCUUCGAGUGCUGUAAAAGCGGUUGAGAAAUUCUUCCUCUAAGUGCUUCCAACUAUCGAUGGAGUUUGCCCCCAAAUCAAUGUACCAAUCAAACGCGUUGUCUUUGAGCGAUCGGACGAAUUGCUUGACGAGGUGAUCUCCGUACGUCCCGGCAUCAUUGCAAGUUUCGACGAAGUGUGCCAUAUGUUGCUUGGGGUUGCCUUUGCCGUCAAAUUGUUGAAACUUUGGAGGUAUAUAGCCCAUUGGCAUCCUUAGAUCAUCAAUCCUUUGCGUGUAUGGCUUGACAUAGUUUGAUGGAGACUUCGAGCUCCCUUCCAACUUGUCUUUGAUGGUUCCACUGAUCAGCGUCAUCACUUGAUCUACAUGAAUCAUCCCUUCUGGAGAAACUUGAAGUUCUUGAGCUGGAGCCUUCUCGUUUUCAACUGGUUGUUGCUUUGUGGAUGUCUCGACUUCGUCUUGAACCUCUAUCUGAUUCUCCACAGCUUGAAUAGCAUCGGCUUUGUCCAUCUUGUUGAUCAACUCGGCAAUUUGAGAAUCUCGUUGUUGAACAUGCUUUGCGAGUCCCUCAAUGGCCUUUGUCAAACUUGCAAUUUGCUCCUCCAUGGUUGUAGCGUUUGUUGUCAUGACGGAUGCCACCUCUGAGUAGCUUGAUGUUGAACGAGGCGUGGGCUGUGAAAUCUCUCGUUUUGAACCUUCCACGUCUGCGCUUGUGUUGACAAGAGAGUGGUAAGCCUUUCUGAAUGGUUUGAGGCGUCGAGUUAGUCUCGGAGGAUGCUUGCAGCUUCUUAGCCAUACUCCUUGUAUCUAAGGNNNNNNNNNNNNNNNNNNNNNNNNNNNNNNNNNNNNNNNNNNNNNNNNNNNNNNNNNNNNNNNNNNNNNNNNNNNNNNNNNNNNNNNNNNNNNNNNNNNNNNNNNNNNNNNNNNNNNNNNNNNNNNNNNNNNNNNNNNNNNNNNNNNNNNNNNNNNNNNNNNNNNNNNNNNNNNNNNNNNNNNNNNNNNNNNNNNNNNNNNNNNNNNNNNNNNNNNNNNNNNNNNNNNNNNNNNNNNNNNNNNNNNNNNNNNNNNNNNNNNNNNNNNNNNNNNNNNNNNNNNNNNNNNNNNNGGUCGUUGACUUGAUCUUCUCCGGAUUUGAUUUUGAACUUGAAUAACGUUUUCUGAGGGUCUUGCGACUUGAAUCUCGGAUCGAACGCUGAACUUUGACGAGCUUUGACUUGAAGAUCUUGGAGUUCUUGAUGGAUUUGGCCCUUCAAUUUUCCUUCGAUCUUGAUUUGUUGAAGAACACCCUCGAUUUGAUGAAGAACGCCUUGAAUUUGUUGAAGAACGACUUGAAUAUUGUAGAAAGAAUUUUCUCCUAUAGUUUUUCUUCUUCUUGAGUUGUGUUUUGAAUUGUGUAUAGAGGGUCCCUAUUUAUAGUGGUAGAAUAAGAGUCCUACUUAAAGUCUACUUGAUGACGUGACGCGAUUUGAUUGGCUCUCUUUAAAUUGAUAUUUAUCUCUUAUAACUUGGAAGAGAAGAAAUAAUCCUAUUGGCCAAUAAUUAAUUGAUAAUUAUCUCCAUAACUUAUUUUGUAAGAUAAAUUAUAAUUUAAUUUAGACACAAUUUAAUUGGCUAAUUUAAUUAACCAAUUAAUUAAUUUUAUGCGUCUACAGAGUGCUCGGCAUAUAUUUUGUUUUUCCAGAAAGAAUAGACAAGGGAUAGGGAUCCUCACCUGAAGUCCAAUGCAAGUGCUAUAAGAACACCUUACUCUCGAGUCAUGCUCAAGUCUUGAAUGAGAGCUUUAGUACGCUCGACACCUAUAAACAUAUUCAUCACUUAACAAGAUUCCAAAUGCUAAUAUAAUCGUUUACUAUCCGCUUCUAUUUUAUCCUAACUUAAAUCUUAUGCCGUAAUUGACAAUCGAACAUAAUACACAAUUUCUACGGCAUUCUAUUUACCAAAUACAACCCACUCCAGGCAUAAAUUCGCAUGGUACGGAGUUAACUCGUGUUUGUUUGACGAGUUCUCGAAACAAAGGUUUAAAACAUUUGUUUCCACAAUUUCUUUGAAAAAUCAUAACAAUUGGUACAAUUAUCCAAAUUGGGAGAGUAAUAUGCCAAAUGAAAGCUAACAGAAAAUACUACGACUUCACAUAAGGCUUUAGUCCCAAAUUCUGAACCAAAAACAGCAGAAACAGCCUCAAACCAGCAUUACAGAACUGCCGGGAUUUUGGAAAGAUUAUUUAUGGUACAGCUUAUUUGAAAAAUCAUAACAAUUUGUAGAGUUAUCCAAAUUGUCCAAAUAAUACACCAAAUGAACCUUACAAUGUAAACUACAAGUUCUCAGAAGACACACAACUCAAAUUAUUAGCUCAACAUAGCAAACACGGCCCCGUAAGAAGAAUACUCAAAACUGCCCUGUUUUAACAGAUUUACAGCCGUCUAAUUCUCAUCUCUAAAAGUCUAUAAACCUUGCUCAAAUUAGAAGCAAUUUAACACUUACUAAUAUUUCUCGCGGUCCUCUACGAGUUUCGUCAAGGAAUGAUUCCCAAAUUCGCACUCCAAACUCUCCAAAUUCUGUUCCGAAAACAGGUGCGGCAGCAGUUCUUCAUUUCUCUGAAUUUUGCCGACAUAACUGUCGGGUUUAAUUCGGUUAUAUAUGAUAGUCGAAAUUUGGGGAAAAGAUGAUAUUGCUAUAUUAUAUAGUCUGUUCUAUAAGUUCCCAAGAGAAAUAAAUCCGAAAUUCGAAGCCUAGGUACCUCAAAUCGGCUCUUAAAACUUCAGCGGCAGGCUGGACUUCUCAUCGAACUCCGGCGACCACCAUGUGAGACAACAGCCGGAAACCACCACCAAAUUGAAGCUUACGUCGAGGGCUUUCCAAUGAUAAAUCCCGACCGCUGAAACUCUGCCGGAAUGAUUGUCAAUUCACCAUCGUUCUCUCCGUCGGUUGAACCAUAGCUCAUCUCUAAUAUUCUUGAUCUCUCUCUCAAACUAUUCCUAUAAUUAAUCACUCAAUUUCUUGGAGUUCUAUGUGAUUUGUGGAUGAUGAUUCUAUCGACGAGAAGGGGUAAUUUAUAGGCAGAAGUGAAGUCGGAAUAUGCUAUUAAUCGGAUGAAGAUGACGAAGACUUUCUCACUUAUCCGCCUAUUUCAUAAACUUGAUUGC
rnacentral:lncRNA from 1 species